rnacentral:rRNA from 1 species
UACGGAGGGGGCUAGCGUUGUUCGGAAUUACUGGGCGUAAAGCGCACGUAGGCGGCUUUGUAAGCCAGAUGUGAAAUCCCCGGGCUUAACCUGGGAAUGGCAUUUGGGACUGCAAGGCUGGAGUGUGGCAGAGGAGACUGGAAUUCCUGGUGUAGCAGUGAAAUGCGUAGAUAUCGAGAGGAACACCAGUGGCGAAGGCGAGUCUCUGGACGACACCUGACACUGAGGCACGAAAGCUAGGGGAGCAAACAGG